rnacentral:rRNA from 1 species
CACGGGGGGAGCAAGCGUUGUUCGGAAUCACUGGGCGUAAAGGGCGUGUAGGCGGUCAGGUUAGUGAGAUGUGAAACGCCCCGGCUCACCCGGGGACCUGCAUCUCAAACUGCCUGGCUUGAGUAUGGGAGAGGAUGAGGGAAUUCCUGGUGUAGCGGUGAAAUGCGUAGAUAUCAGGAGGAACACCGGUGGCGAAGGCGGGUCUCUGGGCCGUAACUGACGCUGAGGAGCGAAAGCAUGGGGAGCGAACAGG